rnacentral:rRNA from 1 species
CCUACGGGCGGCUGCAGUGGGGAAUAUUGCACAAUGGGCGAAAGCCUGAUGCAGCGACGCCGCGUGAGCGAAGAAGGCCUUCGGGUCGUAAAGCUCUGACCUAAGGGAAGAUAAUGACGGUACCUUAGGAGGAAGCCCCGGCUAACUACGUGCCAGCAGCCGCGGUAAUACGUAGGGGGCGAGCGUUAUCCGGAAAUAUUGGGCGUAAAGGGUGCGUAGGCGGCCUUGUAAGUCAGGUGUGAAAGUCUACGGCGCAACCGUAGUUAGCACUUGAAACUGCAGGGCGUGAGUGCAGGAGAGGAGAUUAGAAUUGCUAGUGUAGCGGUGAAGUGCGUAGAUAUGAGGGGGAACACCAGUGGCGAAGGCGACUCUCUGGACUGUAACUGACGCUGAGGCACGAAAGCGUGGGGAGCGAACAGGAUUAGAUACCCUAGUAGUC